GAUGAACGCUGGCGGCGUGCCUAAUACAUGCAAGUCGAGCGAACAGACGAGGAGCUUGCUCCUCUGACGUUAGCGGCGGACGGGUGAGUAACACGUGGAUAACCUACCUAUAUGACUGGGAUAACUUCGGGAAACCGGAGCUAAUACCGGAUAAUAUAUUGAACCGCAUGGUUCAAUAGUGAAAGACGGUUUUGCUGUCACUUAUAGAUGGAUCCGCGCCGCAUUAGCUAGUUGGUAAGGUAACGGCUUACCAAGGCAACGAUGCGUAGCCGACCUGAGAGGGUGAUCGGCCACACUGGAACUGAGACACGGUCCAGGCGCCUACGGGAGGCAGCAGUAGGGAAUCUUCCGCAAUGGGCGAAAGCCUGACGGAGCAACGCCGCGUGAGUGAUGAAGGUCUUCGGAUCGUAAAACUCUGUUAUGAGGGAAGAACAAAUGUGUAAGUAACUAUGCACGUCUUGACGGUACCUAAUCAGAAAGCCACGGCUAACUACGUG
rnacentral:rRNA from 1 species